UCCUUUUACUUUGGAUUUUACCUUCUUCAAUAUAGCUUGCUAAAGAUGAAAUAUGUACAUUCAGAAAUGUUAAAGAAUUAAAUGUUUGUUACC